rnacentral:tRNA from 1 species
GGGGAUAUAGCUCAUUUGGUAGAGUGUUUGCCUUGCAUGUACAAGAACCUGGGUUCAAUCCCAGCACCA